rnacentral:rRNA from 1 species
AAAUUGAAGAGUUUGAUCAUGGCUCAGAUUGAACGCUGGCGGCAGGCCUAACACAUGCAAGUCGAACGGUAACAGGAAGCAGCUUGCUGCUUUGCUGACGAGUGGCGGACGGGUGAGUAAUGUCUGGGAAACUGCCCGAUGGAGGGGGAUAACUACUGGAAACGGUAGCUAAUACCGCAUAACGUCGCAAGACCAAAGAGGGGGACCUUAGGGCCUCUUGCCAUCGGAUGUGCCCAGAUGGGAUUAGCUAGUAGGUGGGGUAAUGGCUCACCUAGGCGACGAUCCCUAGCUGGUCUGAGAGGAUGACCAGCCACACUGGAACUGAGACACGGUCCAGACUCCUACGGGAGGCAGCAGUGGGGAAUAUUGCACAAUGGGCGCAAGCCUGAUGCAGCCAUGCCGCGUGUAUGAAGAAGGCCUUCGGGUUGUAAAGUACUUUCAGCGGGGAGGAAGGGAGUAAAGUUAAUACCUUUGCUCAUUGACGUUACCCGCAGAAGAAGCACCGGCUAACUCCGUGCCAGCAGCCGCGGUAAUACGGAGGGUGCAAGCGUUAAUCGGAAUUACUGGGCGUAAAGCGCACGCAGGCGGUUUGUUAAGUCAGAUGUGAAAUCCCCGGGCUCAACCUGGGAACUGCAUCUGAUACUGGCAAGCUUGAGUCUCGUAGAGGGGGUAGAAUUCCAGGUGUAGCGGUGAAAUGCGUAGAGAUCUGGAGGAAUACCGGUGGCGAAGGCGGCCCCCUGGACGAAGACUGACGCUCAGGUGCGAAAGCGUGGGGAGCAAACAGGAUUAGAUACCCUGGUAGUCCACGCCGUAAACGAUGUCGACUUGGAGGUUGUGCCCUUGAGGCGUGGCUUCCGGAGCUAACGCGUUAAGUCGACCGCCUGGGGAGUACGGCCGCAAGGUUAAAACUCAAAUGAAUUGACGGGGGCCCGCACAAGCGGUGGAGCAUGUGGUUUAAUUCGAUGCAACGCGAAGAACCUUACCUGGUCUUGACAUCCACGGAAGUUUUCAGAGAUGAGAAUGUGCCUUCGGGAACCGUGAGACAGGUGCUGCAUGGCUGUCGUCAGCUCGUGUUGUGAAAUGUUGGGUUAAGUCCCGCAACGAGCGCAACCCUUAUCCUUUGUUGCCAGCGGUCCGGCCGGGAACUCAAAGGAGACUGCCAGUGAUAAACUGGAGGAAGGUGGGGAUGACGUCAAGUCAUCAUGGCCCUUACGACCAGGGCUACACACGUGCUACAAUGGCGCAUACAAAGAGAAGCGACCUCGCGAGAGCAAGCGGACCUCAUAAAGUGCGUCGUAGUCCGGAUUGGAGUCUGCAACUCGACUCCAUGAAGUCGGAAUCGCUAGUAAUCGUGGAUCAGAAUGCCACGGUGAAUACGUUCCCGGGCCUUGUACACACCGCCCGUCACACCAUGGGAGUGGGUUGCAAAAGAAGUAGGUAGCUUAACCUUCGGGAGGGCGCUUACCACUUUGUGAUUCAUGACUGGGGUGAAGUCGUAACAAGGUAACCGUAGGGGAACCUGCGGUUGGAUCACCUCCUUACCUUAAAGAAGC